rnacentral:lncRNA from 1 species
AUUUUUUUGGCUUGUAUAGAGACUAUGGAACCUACCUAUGGACAUACUAGAAGAGAUGGAUGAGUCUCAAUCUACCGACCAAAAGGCUUAAGGUAAUUGUUUGAUCAACUUCACUGUGAUGUGUUUCUAUCUGCUGCUAUGGUUUAUGAAUUCUUAAGGGAAUCAUGCAUAGAUAUCAGUUAGGGGUCCCAACUACUACAUUAUAGGAGCAGUUUAAUGUACCUUGUCAUCAAUCCACGUACAACGUCAACAUAGAUACACAAGCAUAGGCCAGAAAAUAUACACAAAAUACACACAGACCCUUGCCAGUUCCCUGCCAUGGCUUGCCAGGUUGCUGCCAUCAUCAAUUGUCUACCAUUAAUGUGCUCCAGGUUGCCAGGUUGUUGCCAUUACCAAUUGUCCACAAGAUUGCAUAGGGUAGCAUGUCAUAUUUGUUGAAAAAUUGUUUUGUUCACAUCUGAGUUUUGUUUAAAUAUUUUCAUGCUCAUUUUUAAUGAACUAGUAGACACUGCCACACUAGAGUGUAUAUAUCUCAGUUCCCUUUGUCAUGAUUUGUGGCAGUGGAAUGUGGAUAGUGAAAUCAGAUUUCACCUCUUGUAAUUCAAUAUAAAAACUCAUAACAUAAUUGAUUUUUUGUAACUCCAUCAUGUGAUUCUUUUUGGCAGGUUUCAAAAGAGGUUUGGACUUUAUAUCACGAAAGUUUGGUGGCUCGAAGGUUAUAUGCAAGUGUUUUUUUGCAAUUUGAUCAUUGUCGCGCUUGUUGUUUUGAAGGAACUUUGGACUUGUCACGCUUGUUUGUACUUUUAAGAAUUUUUUGUUAUGUAUUUGGAGCAACUUCAAUGUAUUCGGAGAAACUUUAAACUCCAAAUUGAUUAUCUUUUAAUUUUAUCAAUAAAAC